AGGGUCCUAGCUAGUCGCCAGUAUGCUU
rnacentral:sRNA from 1 species